rnacentral:rRNA from 1 species
CCGACGUAUCCGGUGCGUAUUCAGCUCUUGGCGGGUGUUUGUGGUGAGUGCGGAGUUCUGCAAAGUCUUCCACUUAUCAAUCAAGUGCUUGCUGUGGGUGCAUUUGCGUACAGAGUGCGCCGAAUCGGUUGGUCGCGUCGUUUGAAGCGGACGAAGAGGACUCGCUUGCGAGAAACCUGAGUCUGUGGAUGGCGAGUGGGGCUAAUUGUUGGUGGAGUUGGUGAAUUCGUGGUGGCUUGUUUUGGUUGGGGCUGUUCGGGUGAAGUGCUUGCAUUUUGCUCUUUUGGUUCCAGUCAUUGUAGGCCAUUGCUCUACUCCCAUUCGGUGUCCAGUCGGUCACCCAUUCGACCCGUCUUGAAACACGGACCAAGGAGUUUAAGGUUUACGCAAGUCAUUGGGUGUUGAAAUCCAAAGGCGUAAUGAAAGUGGGACACUUGGUGUCUGCGGUGUGAUUUGUGUGCGUUCGUUGUGCACGAAGCACAUCGACCCAUGACUAGGAUUUAUUCUGUUGUGGAGUCUGAGCGUAAGCUUUGAGACCCGAAAGAUGGUGAACUAUGCCCGAACAGGA